CACAUGCAAGUGGAGCGACGAAUCAGGGCUUGCCCUGGGGCAAAGCCGCGAACGGGUGAGUAACACGUGGGUAACCUGCCCCGAUGACCGGGAUAACCCGAGGAAACUCGAGCUAAUACCGGAUGUGCUCUCCCCUCACGAGAGGGGCGAGUAAAGGAAGCUUCGGCCUCCGCAUCGGGAGGGGCCCGUGGCCCAUUAGCUUGUUGGUGGGGUAACGGCCUACCAAGGCUGCGAUGGGUAGCUGGUCUGAGAGGACGAUCAGCCACACUGGGACUGAGACACCGGCCCAGACUCCGUACGGGAGGCAGCAGGUGGGGAAUCUUGCGCAAUGCGCGACAGCGUGACGCAGCAACACCGCGUGGGGAAGAAGGCCUUCGGGUUGUAAACCCCUUUCAGGAGGGACGAAGGCCGGCCGGCGAAUAGCCGUGUCGGUUGACGGUACCUGCAGAAUAAGCCCCGGCCAACUACGUG
rnacentral:rRNA from 1 species